rnacentral:rRNA from 1 species
GCAAGUCGAACGCGAACGAAACCCUUCGGGGUUUUUAGUAGAGUGGCGGACGGGUGAGUAACGCGUAGAUAAUCUACCUUUAAGUGGGGGAUAGCCAUCGGAAACGAUGAUUAAUACCGCAUGUGGAGCUUCGGCUCUAAAGAUGGCCUCUGUUUCAAGCUGUUGCUUAAAGAUGAGUCUGCGUCCUAUUAGCUAGUUGGUAAGGUAACUGCUCACCAAGGCGAUGAUAGGUAGGCGGCCUUAACGGGUGGUC